GAUCCCCGGACGCGCGGCCCCCCCACCCGCGGCCCCGCGCGCCUCUCCCUGACACCACCCUCCGCGGCCCCCUCCGGACCCUCUGGCCCCCAAGACGCCCCUCCGGCCCUCCCCUAGGAGAGGGGGCCCUCGCCAAGUCUCCGCCUUCCUGCCCUCCUCCUGUCAAUGCCGCUGUCCAGAGCUCGCAGCCCUGGGAACGCCACUCCAGCGGGGCCUCCUUCUCCUGGGACCCCCUGGGCCCCACCCCCAGGACCUCCCACCUCUGCAAACCCCGAGUUUGCUUUUCCCAUCCACCGGGCAGCUCUUCUCCACGCCCACCUGGCUGGACCCGGGAAACCGAAGAAGUUAGUGGGGGUUCACCAGUAGGAAUCGCAGGAGGAGCAGAAUUUGAAACAGCAGCAUACCGGUCCUGCGCCUGGUGAAGGAUGACUCGCCAGAAAGCAAAGGCACAGCCCUACCUCCGCGAGCUUGGCGCGUGGCCCAGGAGGCUCCGCGAGCCCUCGUACGUAAGGAUCGCGGCGCCCACGCUUGAGAGCAGAGCUCAGUGCAAACUUCCAACGGUUCUUCCAGUUUCCAGGGAAACGAGAUCUGGAGCUGCUGUGCGUUGCAGAGCUGCCUCUCUGCAACCCACAUGGGACCCCUGUGGCUGGCUGGUCUUGGGGAAGAAGGAGUUGAAGCCACCACAUCCAUGAAGGUUUUGUCUGGAGCCUGUCUGAUCCGAUGCAUUCAGUACUGAAAGCUUUCAGGAACAUUCUUUUACUCACUUCUCAGGACAACCGGUGAGGUAGGUCCCCUGUUAUCCCCAGUAGGACUUUUCAUUAGUAAAUUAGUGACUGGAAUUGGGACAGAAACCCACACUCUGUGACCAGGCUAUGCUCCCCCCACCCCCGAUGCCUUCCUGAUUCCAACCCCUGCAGAGGAUCCUCAAGGUGCAGGAUUUCCCUGGAGUACAAAUAGGUCUUUUCUAUCAGGUCGGAUUGGAAAUGGCCAGGUCAGGAGAAUUCCAACUAUUUCUGGGGCUAGCUGAGUAUGUACGUGUCUGUGGUGCCAAAAAAAAAAAUAAAUAAAAAUCUAGUUCUUUGGAGAGUAUGGUGGCAGGAGCCUGCAAACACGGAGAGGGGAACUCACUGAGAAGGGUCUUUAAGCCGAAGCAAUUCAAUUUUAUUCUGAGGGCAGGAACACAGAGAUUUCAGGCGAGCAUCCUGGCGUGUGCUGAGAAGGAGCUCUGCUGCCUGGGAUCUAGGGGAGCGAAAGGAGCUUUCUCUCUGCUUGCAGUGUAAAAUCCCAGGUACAGGGAAUCACCCUGCAGCUUCUGCUCAGCAGUCUUUCUAAAAGGACUGGGAGUUAGCGGAGAGUGGGAGGGGCAAUCUGUGGUCCCGCGACAGCGAAACCGGGGAUGACAUUGAAGCUAACCCAGGUAGGAUUUUAGAGCAGAUUGAAUUGCUUUAUUUCAGGAUCCUUUCACCGAGGAAGAGCUCAUCAUGCUCUGUUGUGAGCCAUCCUCAACUUCCACUUGCAGAGUCUGCUUAACCUUCCAUGCAUGCCAAGGAGGGGACCCAGGGUAGCUGCGGUCUAGUCACGUGACCUGGAGGGUCAGAGGCAGGAAGGAGAGCAACUCCAGAAAGAACCACACCGGUGAGGGAUAACUUUGCCACUUUUCCAGGAAAAUGACAUCAUUAACUACUGUUCAAGUUCCUACAGAGGUCUGGCGGCCUUCUGGGGGCAGGUAUCACUCUCCCACACCAUCACCUUUUAAAUAUUUUAUUAACAUAUGUCUUAGUCUACCUUCUUUUACUGUAACUGAAUAACAUUUACAAAGAACAAUGGUUUAUUUAGCUAACACUUCAGAAGUGCUUGCAACUGUGAAGCCCUUGUGCUGUGUAUAGUAUGGUGUAAGGAAUGACUUGGCAAGACAGAGCAGCCAAAGAGCUUCUUCCACAACAAAACCGCUCAACCAAUUAUAUCCCAAAGGUUCCACCAAACACCAUGAGCAUAUGACUUUGGGGGUCACGUUUCUCGCCUGUGGAUUCUGGGGACAAGCGUUCAUGCAUCACAAGUAGCCAAAUAGUUGAAAUGUUCAUUGUUAAGCCUCACCCCCUCCCGACCCCCCUUUUUUUCCUAGGAACAGCCACGUUAAUCUGUUACUUCACACAGGCAGUGCAGGCAUCCUCUGUGCAAAACACCCAACGGUGAAUCUUCCAAAGAAUUCAUGAAACCGUAGCCGAGUUCUCAGAGACACAACAGUGUUUCUUACUAUGUUCAAAGUCUUAUAGAAUGUAACACAGAAAAUAUUAAAUAUACAAUGUGCUAUCUUCAUGGCAUAGAAACAAGCAUUUAUCUAACUUACGAAAGACAGAAGUGCCCGAGACACGGCCCAGGACCUGUCAGCCAACCAGAGCUUCUUCCUGCACUUGCUUAGGCAUUUGUAGAAGGAAUCUAUCCCAGCCGCUACAGCUGGUCUGGUUUGUUUUCUUUUGUUUGUUCAUUUGUUUUUAUUUUACAGAGAGUCAGAGAGCAUGAUUCUCCCUACCUGGCUUCUUUUGUUCCAUAAAUAAUGUUUGUGGAGCGUGUCCACGAUGCUGCGCACAGCCCUGGCUCACUCAUGGCUGGUAAUGAAACCCUGCAGCUGACCAGUUUCACUGCAGUAAGCAACACAUUGCUUCUUGUUUGGGAAUGGUGUGUCGGGAAUCAUUGAGACACGCAGCUGAGUAACCCUGUCUGAUUAAUACUGUCUUUACUUCUAUUUCCCCCUCUUUGCAUCGAGGUGCAAUUUAUGUACAAUAAGAAUCAUUGAUUUUAACUGUAUGAUUCCACGAGUUUGGACAGCUGCAUACAUUAUACGGACGACCCACUCAUGACUCAAUGCUGGUCCAACUCCUGCAAAUGCUAAGCUCAGCUUUUCCCGACUCCCACCUCGUGCAGUAUACAGGAUUUCCUGUGCAUGGGCAACCUUUUCUGUCUGGCUUCAGUGCCUUUCAGAUUCGUCCAAACUCUCACAUGAAUCGAUUGGUUGUGCUUAUUGCUGAAUAGAAUUCUAGUAAAAAGUGUUUAUCCAUUCACGGCAUGGUGGGCAUUCUGGCUGUCUCUGACGGGGUGACUGACCUGUAUUCAACCGUGGUACCAUGCAGGUUUAAGUCGAUAUGAGCGUGCUUCCAACUCCUUAGGUGUGUGGUAGGAGUGUGAUUGCUGGGCUGCAUCACCACACAUUUACAGUUAUCCUUAAAGAAAACAGAAGAUCAUUAACUAGAAUCAUUUUCCGCCCCCAUCCCCCCGUGCCGUAUGUGUAUACUCCUGGGUUGUGUUUUUAGCAACACAAGGUGUGUCAGCUUCCCUAGCAUGUUGGCCAGCCUGGCGUCCAUAGAUGGAUUCUCAUGGUGGCUUUAAUUUGCAUUGCCUGGUUUUGAAUGCUAUCAACACUUUCACUUAUCUUCAGUAAUGCGCGGGCGCGCGCGCGCGCGCGCACACACACACACACACACACACACACACACACACACACACUUGGUUAGCUUUUUCGAAAAUUACGUGGUCUCUAAGUCUCUAUCAUUUUAUCAACAGUGAAUAGAAGCGUGACUGGAAAUGUGGCGUACGUUGGCCCUGUGGAUUCUCCUGUAAUAGCCCAAGCACAUAUUAUACCUCUUUCAGCUGAUCCCUCGAAAACUCAUCACUACUCAACCUGGUCUCCUCUGGAGUCUAAAUGAAGCACUUAAUGGGAAUCCACCUAAGCCUCCUCUGGCUUCUGUUUAUGACAGUAAAGAGUCCAGGUAAGUCAUGUCAGGGGUAGACAGAGCUGCCAGCUGCCCAUGUCUUAGCGAGAUCAGUGAGCUAUAUCUCCCAAGAGAGAAUUGUCAUUCUGCCUCUCUGCCAUGAGGACACUGCUGGACCACCUCUGCAGGAGCUUGCACUGAUGCUGUGCUAGAAAGAACAAAGACCCUUCUCUGCUUUGGUUUCCUUUAGAAAUGGUUCUGGCUCUGUCUCCCACAUACUCCAGCCUCCCACCACUCCAACUGGGGUGAACUUUCCUUCUACCUGUGGAACACAUCAAAUGGAGUUCUUGUGUUUCCUGUGUUCAUUUUCUCGUCUGAAAUCAUGCUGUUGCUGCUGUCUACCACACUAUGUCCUUGUAUUCCUAGACCUCCAAAACCAGGGCUGGACAGUCCAGGUGGAGCCUUUCUUCCUUAGCAGACGUAAGUAGACACAACCAUCCUGUAGGGCGAACAAGAGCUUGGUGGCUGGACAACCACUUCAGAUUUUCAAAUACACCCUCACAGAGAUGCUCAGGGAUGCUCACUGAAGUUUCAUCUGAGGCAGGGAGUCACAAGAAAGCAGAGAAGGAUGACCCCUGCCAAAACCAUGUUAGAGCAAAGGUGGCAGGGUCUCCCUUCCCUUGAAAUAACUCAAAUGCUGGACAGAGGACAGAAAGCAUGGUUUUCAAAUGCUAAUCAUGAAACAAGGCAAGACUGUGACAGAGAAUCAAAGAAAGCCUCCAGUGCCUCGUGUAACAGCUUAAGAGUUGCCAGCAAUGGUGCCAGCCGAGGAGCCCAGGCAGACUCAAAGAACUUCCCUGGGUUUAAGAGACAUGCUUGUGCUCAAGGGACCAAACUAAAUGUAUACAGGUUUGAUUUUUGUCAAUUAUGCUUCAAUAUAACUAUAAAAACUGGGGUAAAAGCACACUGUAAAAUACUGUCAAUCAGAAGUAACAAAGCUGUAUCUAAUACAUAACUCUAAGUGAGUAAAGAAUCAAUAUUGUCCAACCA
rnacentral:sRNA from 1 species